rnacentral:miRNA from 1 species
UUAUUAUUAUUAUGAUGAUGAUGAUGAUGAUCAUCAUCAUCAUCAUUAUUUCAU